UGCCAACUGCAAAACAGCAAAACAAAUCAAUCGAGAAAGGGCCAGACGAUCAUAUUUCCACGCUAAUUAAUACUAUAAAGACAUUUCCGAUUAGCUCAGUUGGUGAUGAAAAUAAUACUUCAAUUACGAGCACAUUCCCAGCCCAGCCCUCAGUCUGGGGGCAUAGAUUCCCCUGCCCAUCAGAUCAGCUGUUCGCGAAAAAAUAAUCCCACAAGCUGUCAUUAUGCAAGGCCCUGGCGAGGUUGGCCCUGUUACUCACACAUGUAAAUAUCUCUAAAAUAUUUUGAUGAAAGAAAGUUUUGGACAUAGCGGUAAUUUGGAUUUUGGAGCUUAAAAGGAAUAUGGACCGAGCCAGAAAAGGAGACCUAAGAUUUAGACUACAAAAUAAAGGCAGGAGUGAUGUGACAGUUCGUAGACGGUUGAUUUCAUAAGCCCCAGAAAGCUACGCAUGUGGUCUGGCCUGUGACACAGUGACGAAAACUACUUUUUACUGAUGAUAAUAUACAUAGUUGUAUUAUAUGGUAAGACAGACUCCAAUAUGUUUGGCAUUUACAGAAAUAGCAUGCUGGGCUGAGCCCUAUGAGGCCAAGCUCAUAUGAAGUGGUACCGCCCAGUCUGGAGUUUGAGUAUUGAGCAAUACUGUUUAUGUGGGCUUACUUUAUAAUACAUAACAUUCAUAUAAGAGUUAAAAAAUGGCUCUCAAAAAAAUCUUUCUAAAGGAUAAUGAUCCCAAACACUUAGGAAAGCACGCUAGGCAUUGCGUUUCAUCUGAAAAUAUCUGGAUCUGAAUCUUAUCGAAAACUUAUGGGAGAAUGUCAAAUACAUUGUAGCAACUUCAAAUCCGUCAACCAUAGAAAAGUUUUAGGAAGUUGUCAGAGGAGUAUUGACUCAAAUCCUAUUGAAGCGUUGUCUGGACCUUAUUGACCCAUACCAGGUCCGUGUAAGCCCGUAAUGAAAAUAAAAUUGAUUGAAAACUAGAUAUAAAACCUCAAGAUACAUGCAGAACCUGAAACAUAGGUUCUAAAUUUAGUUUCGCUGUUUUUUUCGAUUUUCUAAAAAACACUACUAUUUCUAUGAACAGCAGAUUUCAUGGGUAGUUGUCUAAAGAUAUGAAAAACAUGAAAAUGGAAUGCAAAUGCAACGCGAUUUCUUUUAUUUUAUAUUUUUUACAUUCUUGUAUAUCCAAAAAGGUAUUACAUGUUAAAUUUGGAAUACUGCCAAUGUCUCAAAAACAGUCUUGAAAGUGGUGAGGUGCGGCACUACUAUUUCAAUGACCACAGCUGUAUAUAUACAGGGUGGAUGCAAUGACUUUUUACAGUGCUUCGAAGGAAAAUAACAUGCAGAAAAAAAACAAAACAAAAUCAUAAAUAAAAUAUAUGAAAGGUACUGCAAAAUUACAGAGUGUUCCAUGUGAAUGAAACGUGGAAGAUUUCUCUGUGGCUGUGCGUUUAUUAGUGCGUUCAAAAGGAAAGUUUAUAUUUUACUGUCUUUUUUUUUAGGCGAUUUUUAGUUAGUUAUGAAAAUACAGAACUAAAAGCCAGUUUUCCUUUCGAUUUGUAAUGUCUUUCCGAAGGUUGCAUACACAGAACCAAUUAAAACGGUUAUAGUUUACCAACUGUAGGCCUUCUAAAGCAAUUAAACAAAGUUGUAAUCGACACUUGGCGAGCAAAAACAAAAGCAAGGUACAGGCGUGGGUGCCCUGAACGCCAAACGGUGUGCCACGAAUGGAGCCGAGGCGUACCUGUCGUCAGUAGUUUGAGGGUCAACGUCAUCGUGUUUAAUUGGCGGCGAGAAAUGCUUUAAGCUGGAUAGUAGACCAUAUAAGGUGCGACGCGGCUGCCGUUUGGCUGAGAGGCACACACAGAGGCGUGAAUUAAGGCCAUCCAUGCAGUUGUUGGGCAGAACAGAGACGAGACCCAGCCCAGCCUCAAAGGCAGCUGGAAGAGUGCCAGUCGCAAAGCGGAAGCAAGAACAGAUGAGAUCACCAGCCAUAACACGAUGAAAAGAGAGGUGCAAACAAACACGGCUUCAACUGGGGACGCCUAGUGGCACUAAUGACGCAUCGAGUACGAAAGAUAUGUACAUAUCUUUUCCAUGCAAAUGACUAACGCACCAGCUCUGGGGCGAUCCCAGCCAUGUAGCGGUAAUGAUUCCAAAGUGCAUGACGUAAAAUUAAUGCCUUAUUUAUGUGUUCACUGAGCCACACGGCAGCGGCACGAAAGCGCGAAGACGGUGGACAAAGAAUGGCCGAAAGCAAGAGACACAAAGUCACAAGAAACAAACAAAACUUACCCGCAACAAUUGUUCAACAAUACGGACGGGAAGGUAUCUUGUAUUGGCCUACGUGUGCCGCGUUCCAGUUGUUUCCAGAUGCAAUGCAGUGCAACCUCUGCGCUGCUGCAGAUUUGGGGUUGGUGGACGGAGGCUGCGCGUUAGGUGCGGGCGUUCUUGCACACACACACAGUUUUAUUGAUUAAAAAAUGUUUCUUUUCUGGCCGAAAUAGUGCGAAAGAU